ensembl:lncRNA
ACGCGAUGGGAUGCGGUGAGAAUGCCACUGUGGCAGUCUUCAAGGAUUCCGUCUACAGUUGAAAAAAAUUGAUGCUCAUUAUCAAAUAACACCGUUUUUUAUUAUGAGCUUUAAUCCUGCCUCUUUGCAGGAAUGGAAAUGAUUCUGCCAAGCCCCAAAGUGCCUUAAGGUUAAUGAGGCAAUCUUCAUCAAUUCUUUUGCCAUCUGGAGAUGCUUCGUGGCAGCAAGAUCCUGUAAUGUGAGGAAUGUUUGCACAGAGUGCCCAAACUUUUAUGAACAAAUUCACGCAUGCCAAUAUCUUUUUUGUUUGUUGUAAUGGCUAUUCUAUUGAUGACAGCAUGCUACAAAUAAUGACAAUUAUGGAGUAUUUUUAGCAGUAGGUAAGCAUAGUACAGAAUAGUACACAAAUGCUUCCUAUUACUACGUGCAGUGGUGGUGGUGGUGGUAUUACGGUCGUUAGGAUUUAGGCUCUCCUCACAGGGCUAAAUUACACUUAAUUUAUUUUAGCAUCCUCUGUUGUCUGCCCAGGAACAACAGAACAGGACAUCCUAAUCAUUCAAGAUGUAGAGGAGGAGUGUGCAUGUGCGUGUGUGUAUGUGUGUAUGUGUAUGUGUGUGUGUGUGUGUGUGUGUGUGUGUGUGUGUGUGUGUGUGUGUGUGUGUGUGUGUGUGUGUGUGUGUGUGUGUGUGUGUGUGUGUGUGAGUGAGUGAGUGAGUGAGUGAGUGAGUGAGUGAGUGAGUGAGUGAGUGAGUGAGUGCCUGUGGAUCUGCCAAUAUGAGGGGGAGGUAGCUUUGCUUUGGGAGGAAAUGGUUUUAAACAGGCAGGAUAUUUUAUAUAAAAGGGUUACAUUUGAAAUUUGGAUGAAAUAACCCCAUCCUGUCUUUCUCCCGAAGAGGAGGGGGGAGGUGGGGGAGGCAGAUGUGUUCUGGCUUAUCUCUUCCACCUGUGGCAAAUGAUGGAUCAACAUAAUUUCUUCUCACUGGAGGGAGUGCACAGUAUAUAGGCCCAGUAUGUGUGCUGGGUUGGAAUGGACCUUCUCUAGUCACAACAGUAGAGAACUGGAAUGGGCAUUCUCUAGUCACAACAGUGGAGAACUGGAAUGGGCAUUCUCUAGUCACAACAGUAGAGAACUGGAAUGGGCCUUCUCUAGUCACAACAGUAGAGAACUGGAAUGGGCAGUCUCUAGUCACAACAGUAGAGAAUUGGAAUGGGC